ACCUUCUUGUUUAAGCUCUGUACUAAAAUUGCAGAAACUAGUAUCGUGUCUUACCAUUUGUAAUAAAGCUAUCAGAGAAAACCCAAGGAAAAAAAACAGCUGUACCAGAUAGAAAAACUGAGUUGAACCUUUUUUUUUUCUUUUUUUUAGAUGGAGUCUCACUCUGUCACCCAGGCUGGAGUGUAGUGGCGCGAUCUCA
ensembl:snoRNA